rnacentral:RNase_P_RNA from 1 species
GGUAGUGGCUGGACGGUCGCGGGGGUAACACCCCGAGGAAAGUCCGGGCUCCAUUGGGCAGGUCGCCAGGUAACACCUGGACGCGUCACGCGAGUGGCGCGAUGGAAAGUGCCACAGAAAACAGACCGCCCGUUGCGUCGCAAGGCGCGCGGGUAAGGGUGAAACGGCGGGGUAAGAGCCCACCGCAAUCCUGGCAACAGGGUUGGCACGGCAAACCCCGGCCGGAGCAAGGCCAAGUAGGCGGCGAGAGCGCCCAACUCGACAAAGACGCCGCGGGUAGGCUGCUGGA